rfam:Eucalyptus grandis cultivar BRASTZ1 unplaced genomic scaffold scaffold_5, whole genome shotgun sequence.
GCGAGGUGACGAUAGAAAUUCAUGUCUGUCAAUCCACUGACUUACAACAGCGUGAUGUUAUCGUGAAUCCCGACAGGUUCCGAUCGC